AACGCGCGCAAGGGACUGGGGCACCGAGGGCUGGGGGACGGGCCGCAGGUGGAAGUCCGCCGUGCGCGCCGCCGCCAGGUGGUCCCGCUGCUUCUGCGACAGGAGGGGCCGCUGCUGCCGCGCUCCUCAGCCUGGCCGCCACUCGGACUCCAGAGUGCGGUGCGUGGAGGGGACGCCCGCCCGGCCGGAAGCGUCCGGACGUCCUGCCGAAGCGCGGCCGCGGACCAGAGAAUGUGAUUUUUCUCAAAGCGUUCCGAGUCCUCCGUUUCCGGACUCGCGCUACGUUCAAAAAACCUUCCCAGUGUACGCCGCUGCUGUUCCCAAGCCUAAGUCACGAGUUUGGGACCCGACCCCGCGCCCGGCUGGAGAGACAGACACCUGCGCCGGGGACGGAGGGCCGCCCGCAGCGCGUUUGGGGCGAGAGGGCGUCGGGCCAGCAGGUACCCUGCGGGGCCUCUCAGCCAGGUCUGCCCCCCACCCCCAGCCGAUGCCUGAAUCGGCACGUCCCUGCGCUGCGCCCCGCCCCGCCGCGCGGGCGGGCCCUUCAGUCCCUGGGGCGGGGCCACGAGGUGCUUCGCAGUGAACACGAACAUUUGGGUGUUGUUCACGGUUUUCGACCUUUUCUGGGUGUAUGGAGCCGAUAACGCAGCAGCGACCCCGGACUUACUGCGGAGGCGGGGUCCCUCCGGAGCAGGGAGGGUAGCGCUGUCUUGACCCCCUUCGUGUACUGAGACAAGAGUCCGAACUGAUCACAGAAUCGCCCUCUGACUUCUUGGAAUCAGUGUGUUAACACAGUCUUCUUGGGAGACUGACACGGUUGCUGCCGAAGUCUGUCUUGCCCCUCAGUGGGAUUCCAGCCCUGGCUUUGGAGCUGUUGGCUCCUGCUUCACAUGCCUUCAGAAAGCCACAUGUCAAACUACCUUCAUCUGAUUUCUUUAAUGACAUAGAGGAGGCUGGUGUCCCUUCAAAGGUGCCUGUCCACUGAAAACUCCAGGCGUCAUUUCCAAGCCCUUCACUUGCAUCUUCUCUGACACAAAUGCUGCAGCGGUUUUAUCGAUGCCGUGACAAGUCCAGAGCCAUCGCGCCAGUGUUUUCCAGAUGGCUGCUUCCCCAGAGUGCUUCCGGAAUCACCCGCCACACUUCAGUUCCUGUGCACAUUCAUUCGGAGGGUCCAGUUUCACAUGGGUGCGUUUCCUCACUGUGCACGAACACCCCCGACAUCAGCAUGAACAGAUGUAAUGGGCCCUGGCAGAAAUUUUAGCUGUGCCUCAGCAUAGAUUCAUUAAGCACCUAUGAAGCAUGUGCAAAGAGUUUGCUUGUUUUCUGAGAAUAUUUUUUGUUGUUUCCCAUCCACAAAUUUUAUUAGUGGGUAUUUAUCGAGAUCCAGCCAUGUGCAUGUGUUCCUGCCUCAGGGAGACCCACGUCGUAGGGAAGCACGAAGAGUGAGCUUGCAGCCCUCAAAAGCUGGCGUUCUAGCAGGUUUACACGUGCAGGGCAGCUGGGGCUGGGACUCGGUUUCCCUCUGCUCUUUCCAGAUGCCCAACUUCCCAGAUGUUCCAAGUCAGAAAUUCUUGUCAUCUGUGGGAUAACUGGCCCUGGCAAGGGUACCUGUAAGUGACGUUAUAGCAGAAAGUUUCUUAAGCAGCUUCUGCUCAACUGGCUCAUCCGGGAGCAGACACCUGCCAUUCCCGGUGUGGCUCAGACCAGCAGAGGGACGAAGGCCCGUGGCCCCCACACCUGGUCCUCCCAGCAGGCUCUAAUGGCCCGACGCGCCGAGUGCCAGCUGAGGAGGCUUUGUGUGACCAGAGGAGCUCGGUGCCACAUCCAGGACACACACAGUCGACCUCAGCUGCGUGUGCGACAUUUGCACCUUCACUUUGCAGUCGAUGUGCAUUGUUUCGGGUCAAGGAUGCUAACGGGCCGCCACGUGGCCCCCACUGGUGCAGUGGGAUCCAGGACAGUGCCCACACAAAAUUCACAAUUUCCUAGUAGCCACAUUAAAAAAAAAACCUAAAAAAAGCAGGUGGUUAAUUUCAAUACUAGAUUUCGUUUUACAUAACAUAUCCAAAAGGUGAAUUUCCAUGUAUAAUCGAUUUAUUUAUAAGUCACCUCUCAUGAGAUCUUUCACCACGUAUGUUGCACUGGGCCUUUGAAAUCUGGGGUGCGCGCCACAGCACAGAACAUCUCGAGUGUCAUUUUGGGCUGGCGGCACCUCGUGCAGUCAAUCGAAACCCGCAGCUGGUGGCUGCUGUUGGAGAUGGCCCCCCUCCCCCAGCCAUCGCCCCCCAGGUCUAUGAGGUUGGUGGACAGCUCCAAGCUGGUUAGGCCAGAUUAGUGCCUAACUAACAUGCCCAGAGCAUAGAGAACCGUAACAGACACCAAUCGGUAAACCACACCUACGACAAUCAGCCUCUCCGCUUCCGGCAGCGAACCGGACCUUCGGAUCCCGUUGUCGAGUCUCCCUCCGGACUGCAGUCCUGGUGCCGUCUCUGCUUUCCCGACUCUCCGAGUGACCCGCAGCCCAGACUCCAAGCUCCCUCUCAUUCGGCAGACGCAGAGGGCGUCAGCUCCUCCGUGGGGGGCACUCUGGAGGCUGCAGAGCCCCGCAGAGACAGAGCCAGGUGGGGCACCCAGCCCACCACCUCCCCCAGCUUCCCUCCACAAACUUCAGUCGUC